GAUGAACGCUGGCGGCGUGCCUAACACAUGCAAGUCGAGCGAACAGACGAGGAGCUUGCUCCUCUGACGUUAGCGGCGGACGGGUGAGUAACACGUGGAUAACCUACCUAUAAGACUGGGAUAACUUCGGGAAACCGGAGCUAAUACCGGAUAAUAUAUUGAACCGCAUGGUUCAAUAGUGAAAGACGGUUUUGCUGUCACUUAUAGAUGGAUCCGCGCCGCAUUAGCUAGUUGGUAAGGUAACGGCUUACCAAGGCGACGAUGCGUAGCCGACCUGAGAGGGUGAUCGGCCCAACUGGAACUGAGACACGGUCCAGACUCCUACGGGAGGCAGCAGUAGGGAAUCUUCCGCAAGGGGCGAAAGCCUGACGGAGCAACGCCGGGUGGGUGAUGAAGGUCUUCGGAUCGUAAAACUCUGUUAUUAGGGAAGAACAAAUGUGUAAGUAACUAUGCACGUCUUGACGGUACCAAAUCAGAAAGCCACGGCAAACUACGU
rnacentral:rRNA from 1 species